GCCAGCGCCAACCAAACCUACAAUCCUCCAGGUCCGCGAAAGUAAAAGUUCCGCGGCGCAAGGGGAACCCCCUCCUCAGCGGAACCCUGCCGCCCCCCUCCUGGAGAGGGGGAAGGUCGCCGUCGCAUGCGACCAAAGAGAGGGAAAAUAAGUUGUUAUAUAUUAAUAAUUCUGGUAUCUUUCACCGUUACUCGAAAUACUCGCGAAUCAACUGGUGCCGUGUCGUGGUGCGAAAGUUCGGACUUUUUGGACUUGUGGUAGAGUGCUUUGUGGAAAAUUUGGAGUGAUUGGAGUAACCAUGAAGUUUCUGGUAAGCUGUCAGCCUCGUCAAUCUCGUUUAUAGUUGUAAUCUCAUCUUUGGUUAUAUUCGGACUCCUGGCCACGUCAGUCCUCGCCGACCGACCCUCCUCCAUCAGCGACAACAAAGCUGAGGCGGCAUCCUCCUCCAGCUCGAAGACCCACGAAAAGCGCACGACCGCCUACAGCGUGUACGGGCCGCCUAGCCAGCACGCGCACAAUGGACCAACACCCUCCUACUCGCCGGGCUACGUGAGCAGCUACGCACCCACCUACGCCUCAGGGGUGGACUACUCGGCACCCGCCACCUACGCCAUCGCCGCCCCCUACGCCGCGGCAACCCAUGGCUCGUACGCUAUUGCAGCGCCAUACCCAGCACCCGUAGCCGUCGCUGUUCCCGCCGCUAACUACGCCGCCGUGCCCACAGCCAACUACGCCGCCGUACCCGCACCCAACUACGCAGCUAUUGCCCAUCCCCUCUUCGUGCCCAACAGCGGCGUAGACUCCCACGCACUCGCCUACCCCGCUGCAACCUACGCAGGCCCUAGCCUUGGCGUCUAUCCCGCCAUCGGCAUCCCUGCCAACUACCCCCCUGCCGGCUACAACUUCCCCCCACCCAACUACGUACCCUACACGGGACCGAACCGCGAGACCUACACUAACGCCGAUGGAACCAGAGUCGGUCCAGUGACUUUUGGACCUGGACACGGAGGUGUCUACCACCCACCCUCUUUCGCCUACUCACCUUCCGGUUACGAACCAAGCACCAACUACGAGAAACCCUCCUCCUCGUAUGGCCCACCCUCUUACUCUGCUCCAUCUCCAUCUUACGGCUCACCUUCAUUCACCCCCUCUUACUCCCCGUCAUACUCCGGACCGUCAUACUCCUCGGGUUCGCCCUCAUACUCCUCAGGAAGUGCAACAAGUUUCUCCACCACCCACAACUACACCCCCUCCAGGCCAAGUUCCUCCUACGGACCGCCGUCACCUCCAUCUACGUAUGGACCCCCUUCGCCUAACUCUUACAGCCCUUCGUCUUCUUACGGACCCCCGUCUCCUUCCUACAGCUCUCCGUCGUCUUCCUAUGGACCUCCUUCUCCCUCCUACAGCUCUCCCUCUUCCUCCUACGGACCACCUGGACCAUACGCUUCUUCAUCGGAAAAUACCUACAACACAAUUAGGUACAGUGGACCAACUGACUACGCCAAACAUUAAAUUUAGGUAGGUGAAUUUACACCAGUCAUGAAGCCUUAUCUGCAAAGACAGAUACAUUGAUAUUGAAUGUAAAAUCCGGUAAUAACUCAGUCAUUUUCAAACCAAACGACUUCCGGUGAGCUCCGCCUAGCAAAUUAGUUUCCUGUUUAAUUUUUCUCGGUGUAGCCCGUUAAAUCUUGAUACUUUUUAAGAUUUAGUUUUUAGCACAAGAGAAAAAAAAAAACAUUCUGGUGGUGAUCAGUUCAGAACUAGGCCAUUUGUUUCCGCGAAUCGACAAAAGGUCAUCAACCUAAUCUUGCAUUCGUGAAGCAAAUGGGCGCAGAGCACAGCUUAUCUAAAGUUAUUUGCCAUAACGGUACGAUUUUUUGUCGUUUUUAUGUGACUGACCAUGAUUCAGUCUUACAAACUUUAAAGAUAAGUUUUUGCUCGUUUUCCUUUUUUUGGCACGUUCUUUCCGAUUGAGUAAUGACCCCUCGGAUUAAAGAGGAAAAAAAGUGUCAUACUUUCGAGAAAAAAAAAUUAAAUAUUUUUACUGCAUAUUUUAUCCGUUGCUUCAGGAUAUACGGCAGUAAGGAGGUAAAAAAAAGAUUUCUCUCAUUUCUUUCAGCUUAAAUGAUAUGCCUACACCCCUCCCCCUUCCAUGUCAACAAAAGAAUCUCAAAAGUAAUUCACGAUUGAAAACUCAUUUGAAUAAAAUUGUGUGCAUUUUGGCGCUUUCCCAGCUCCUUCAAUUUAGCAGGGCAAAAUACUGUAUACCAGCACAGAAUAAAAUGUCAAUAAUUAUGUACACGUGUAUCAUGAAGAUGCAGCUAAAUUUCUCAGCUCGUUAGGGAAACAAAAACCUCACAUAUCUUGUAGGUAAGGCUUCAUGCAAAUGUUUUACAAAAAUUAUUUUUCAUGCGUACCUAAAAGUUAUUUUCAAAAAAACUAUAAGAAUCGCCAAAAAGGGCUCAAACUGCCUCCUCAGCUCGUAAGUUCUGUACAUUUAUAAGUAGGUUAAGCUAUUUCUCAUUUUUACCUUAUAUUGUGAUGAACUUUGAUAAUAGGGAGUUACCUUAUCGUUACCCUGACUUUAUACUAGAUUGAGCCCGACUCGCCAACCUUAUUUAUUGUUUCUUUGUUUACACUUAUCCGUCCAUUGAAUGUUGUAAAUAUAGUUGUAAACGCAUACUUACACCGGUUAUAGUAUUUUACUGUCCGAAAAAAGCAACGUAUUUCCGAAAAUUUUCGGCGGUUACUUUUCCAGCUUGAUUUCAUUAAAGUAAAGCCUUUUACCUUUCAUUACACGAUAAAGUAAUAUCCGAAGGAUAUCUAAAAGGCUGUAUCCUUUAACCAUACUUUACAUCAAUAUAUAUUUCUCAAUUAAUUAUUGAAGUUUCAGAAAAGAGUACAUCAAUCUAUGUCUUAUACACAUUUUCAAAAAACUUCGAUGGAGAACGCGGCACAAUCUGUGCUGUUUAAGAGUGCGCACGGUGAGUAAGAUAGGUAAUCGAGUGGUGUCAGAAUUUCUCUUUUUCCCAGCGGAAAAUUGCAGUUACAUUCAUUCUAUUGUUUUCUCUUUCGAAUUUCAUCUCAUAAAUGUGUACUAAAGUUUUGUCAGUAAAACGAAUUGUUCCUACAACGGAAAGGAAGUUUCCCAAAAACUUACUUAAUAGAUUUAUUUGCAAGUAUAUUAUAUUAAUUUUUCAUGGUGCCAACUUGUUUAGAUUGUAAAUACAAGAUCGUAUCACUUUUGCAUAGGUACUGUUAGAAUUUUAAUUUGUACACCUAAAUUUUUCGAAAAUAAAUACACUCUCACUUAAUCCAGUGUUAUCAUUAAUAUCAAAACCCUUGAUGACGGUGCAUUAAUUAUCAGCAAAUUUCAUCAUUUGCAGGAUAAUCGGUUUUUGAAAGGAGAUGAUACAAGACAAGUAUGUAAUGGUGAAAACCCCCGUUCUGUUACGUUUAAUUUUCAGAGGAGUAAGUUAAAUUUCUCAAAACUAGAUUAUUAUAAAUACACUCUAUGCUAUCAUUCCCCCUUUCUGAAGCCUUUGCAUCAAUAUUUGGGGCAGUUUUAGCAGAAAAAAGGCAACUCUCAUAAUCAUUAAAGUGUAUUCGUAGUUUUAAAAUUGGAAGUUCUCUCAGGGUAUUUAAUUCCUGUCAUGAGAUUAUGUUUAAUUUUCUAACUUUAAAUUUAAAUUCCUCAAAAUUAGAUUAUUAUGAGUUAGCUUUGUACUAAAAAUGUACUUCUUGUUAUAAACUCAAUCCGGCGCCCGCCAAAACUAGCAUUAGAAGUGUCUGAAAUGGCCUCAUAAAUACCGCUGCAAAUAAUUGCAAGGAAGCAAUUACAGAAUUUAUUGACUUUCUUGCAAGAUGUAUGACUCCACGUUUUUCAUGGGGCGAAAACUUUUUAGAAGUAUAUUACGACUCCAGCUAUUCCACUCUUCCUUCCUGAUGAGAUGAGUUCACUGGUCUUGAGGAAAGUGAAGAUGAAAUUGCCGAGUGACGGCUGCAUUUUAACAAACUCGGCACUUAGAUUUUUCAAACUAGUUUCUAAAAAUAUUGUCUACGGUCUUCCUCGCUCAAGAUGGUAUGUUUCGUUAUGGAAGAGCUUCUGAAUCUUUCCGGUUGAGCUUAUUCAAGGAAUGAAAGUAGCUUGUUCUAACCAGUUCUCAACAAUGACGCAUGAUCAGAUGAAUAAUUUUAGCUCUCUGAAAUUCUUUGAGCCCAAAUGUCAUCUUUCUCUAAUUCACAAAAUGUGACAGGCAAAAAGGAGUCAGAUAAGAUGUGCGUUAGGAUAGAGAAAAAAAUCAAAUAACAAAGCACGUAUCUAACAAGACAUGGUGUUGAUGUUCAGUCAUAAAGACGUAUUUCUAUCAAACGGAACUAUGUGGAUUAUGACGCGAGCCCUGUUAUGCAUAUCUUCGUAUGGGUCUCAGGGCUCAUGUCUUAAUGCACAUACCUCCGUUUGAUAGAGAUACGUCCAUAUUUAGUAUUGAAACGUCAGGGCAGCUGUGCUUUGAGUUCACUGAGGGUCAUUUAAAGGGGCUAAUGUGUAUGACCUUCAUCCAAUGUAAUAGAUAGAGGGAGAGGAACUCGUAAAUCAGGGCAAUAUUGUGAACAUUCACUACACUUACAAUUUGCGUGGAAUUCAAAUGUUACUGAAGCGAGACACGCAAUGCUCGCCAAUAAAAAACAUUAUCUGAUGGUACAAAAUAAUGAAUAACUUUCCCAAUCAUCAAAGUACAUGUAACAGAUGCUAAGUCUUAAUGUCUGAGCUUCCUUCAGUUCAGGUAUGCGUAUAGCUAUAAAUUAGGUUGUGCUAUCACCACCACUGCAUGCGUUUUAUUUCUCUAUCUAUAGGUAUUCCAUGAAUCUCGGUAAAAUUUACCUUCGUUCAUCCCAAGUGUUUCUCCCUUCGCAAAUUUCUGAAAUAAAGGGUUAAUACGUGGUUCUUUUAUUUCAUUUCAUGUCACACUGUUGUACUCCAGUGAUGCAAUAAGAAAAACACGUAAGUAUUAUCCACUUUCACCGCUACACUUUUUUUUUCAGAAAGUUUACUUUUUGAUAAACGACCGAUGAUCGUCUCUGCAUCAAAUUUCGUCGGAUUCUUUCGCCUAUUCGAAAAUAUUCUCUGAAUAUUUCAUGUGGACCACGCAAGAAAUUCUUCCUUGAAAACAUGAAAUAUUAGCCGAGUUGUUUAAAUGCCACGAAUAAGAUGCGUAUGGCUAUAUGCCGUAGUUUGUAGUUUCACUGCAACGAUGCCUAUACAGACUCAAUGAUCCUUCGAGAUUCAAUUCCUUGUGAGAGGGCGAGCAACAGCUCCAUCAGUGACAGAGCUAUGAAAUUGAAUACUUUGGUUACAUAUUCACGUCCCAUCAAAAUUACAUUGCAGUAAAAUAAACUGAGCGAUUCUUGUGUUAAAGACAAGUUUAGUUCGGGCACUCAACGCCCGAGAAACACAAUUUCUACUCACUCUCCUACUCCGCCGCCUCGCUAUACAUAACUCGCGCUUUCAUAAGAAAGAAUUUGCUUGAGUGAUGCUGCCGAAAAUUUAUAUCAUUCGUAGUUCGCGAGUUGGGCCCUCUUUCGUCUAUAAAAUAGUUACGAUGCUGUCUAUUCCGCCAUCCACGCAACUUGCGAGAGAGAAAGCAGUCCGGGUUUUAGGGAAAAAUCGGACACCCGCUGCCUCGGUUGAUUGCAAAGAUAGAGUUUCGGUUUAUGGCUCUGCUGGUCUGCAUCAUUUCGAAGUGUGAGAGAAUGCCGCUGAAUUUCAGUAGCAUUUGCAAUCGGCGAGCCAGGUUGGCGUCGAAAUAUAUCACGUGUUCUGUGGGGCAUUAAGCCUUUUUAACGUUUCAACGAGAGAAAAAGUUUGAUUUCAAUACGAAAUUAAAACUAGUACUUAAAAAUAGUGGUAAUUAUAACAAUCAUGAAGGGGUUCAAUUUAACUCUAAAGAAAUGUUCAAUUCAUUUUGCUCGACAAUAAGUGCACCCGCUUGAGCUUCAUUAUACCAUUUCAAAAAUAUACAAAUACGCACACUCAUGAUGUCAUGAUAAAAAUGCAUCUCUCAUUUGUGUCCUUUUUGUCCUAUUUCUUGUUUACCUUGCCAAUUGGAAUUUAACGAAUAAAUUGUUUCU
rnacentral:lncRNA from 1 species